AGGUUUUUGGCAGAUGGACCAUGACAUUUAAAAUCCCCUGUCUCAAAUACCGCAAAGACAAGUCAUUUCCAGAGAAGAGACAGUGCAGGAAGCAGAGCCCAUGAUGACAUCACCACCCCUCUGUUCCAGUGCACAUCUGGAAAUGCUCAAGUUUCAGAACGAAAAAGUGAGAACGGCAAGAACGUGAGGGAAGAGUACAAACGCGCUUGGCAUAUCUGCACCACCAGCACUGACAGUGAAAGAAGGAGGAGAUAAUAGGAAAAGAGAAAGAAAUGGAGGUGGACCGAUUCCAGGACUAAAACCAGGUCCUGGAGUGUCUCGGACUUGGCAUGGACAAAGACCUCCUGCACCCAUUUGGAAACCAUUAACUCAUAAGGACAUCCAGUUUAGGAAACCAGUUGUAUUUCCCCUGGUUUCAUAAACAAGUUCUUUUCAAAUUAAACUGUGAUUGAUUUUUGUCAUUUGGUACUGGUCUGUGUUUGCCUUAUUGGCGUUUUCUUCUGAAAAAAUUGUUAUCAUUAACAAAGUAUGGCAAAUUCACAUUCAGCCAAAAGUACUGCAGUACUGUUGUGACUUUGUCAUUAAACUUGUAUUAUUUUCAGUAUGGUGCAGUUAUGUGUUGUCAUGCAGAUCGAGCAACUUGUGAUGUUAAGUAUUCUAAAACUCAAGAAAAGCUAAAAGUAGGCCUAGUUAUUUUCAAAGGUGCAAAUGUAAUUUAAUUAUUUAUGCACCAGUGAAACUAACUUAUAAUAAAAACGUUAUAAAAAGAAAAAAAG
ensembl:lncRNA